rnacentral:lncRNA from 1 species
UUUGGUUAGGAAAUAAGGAUAGAAAUAGAUUUUUAUUUUCUUUAUAUUUAAAUGCUAAUUUUUUUAUCUGAGAAUAGUAAUUUUUGGUUAUCCGUAUCAACAUCUUCAUUUUCUAUAUAAAACUACUUAGAAUUAUUCUUAUUCUCGAAAACAACUCAAUUUUCAUCCAAACACUAUUUUUCUUAUUCUCAUACUUGUAUUUAUUUCUGUAAUAACUAGCUUUUGCUUAUACCCGAACCAAACAGUAUCAAAAUGAUUUGAUUCUCUAAUAACAGAUUUAUUUAACUAAAUGCAAUGCUUUAAGAAUGAUUAU